CUCCAGGGUGCUUGGGCAAGACCCCAGAUGGUCUGCAGCAACGCACGGGCAACACGGGAUGAUCAGCGCUACGUGGCCCAGCUGGAUGACCCCUAAGAGCUUCCUGGAAUUUGGAUGCAGGGUUAUUCUGUGUGUGCUGCCUCUCAGAGCAUGUCACUUUGACGUGGACAUCUCGGGUCUGGUUCUGGUGCUGUCCCUGUCUCGCCACGUGACCCUGGAUAAGUCAUCUCUCCAGGCCUUGAUUUCCCCAUCUGUAAACAGAGGUGAGUGAAAUGAUCUUUAAAGGCGUGUCAGUCCAUUUUGCAUUGCUAUAAAGGAAUACCUGAGGUUGGGUAGCUUAUAAAGAAAAGAGGGUUAUUUGGCUCACAGUUGUGCAGGUUGUACAGAAGCAUGGCACCAGCAUUGCUUCUUGUGAAGCUUCAGGAAGCUUCCACUUAUGGUGGAAGGGGAAGGGGGAGUUCGUGACUUACAUGGCAAGAGAGGGAGCAAGAGCCAUGUCAGGCUCUUCUAAACAACCAGCUCUCAUGUAAACUAACAGAGUGAGAACUCAUUCAUUACCACGGGGAGGGCACCAAGCCAUCCAUGAGGGACCUGCCCCCAUGAGCCAAACAUCUCCCACCAGGCCACACCUUCAACACUGGGAGUCACAUUCAGCAUGAGAUUUGGAGGUGACCACCAUGCAUCCAAACCAUAUCAAGGACCCAUUUCGGUGAGGGGACCAGGAACAUAUCCCUUCCCCUCUCCUCCACAUCCUUUAAUGUGGAGUUCAGCAAGGAAAGUAGGGCUUGGGUCAAAUUAAAGCCUGGUCUUAAUUUCCUGGUCCAGUUAUUAGCUGUGUAACCCUGGGCAAGUCACUUAACCCCCUCAGGUUACAAUGUUACAAAUGAUCACAUUUUCCUCAACUGAAAAAUGGGAUAGGAACAUGUCCCAAGCAGAGCUGGAGUGACGGUGCUAUCAAUGGCCCGGCAGUGCCUGGUCACACAGUAGGCCUGGGGAGCCCUGACUUUUACCGCACAGGGAGCUGCUUGCAGAGCUUGUUUUCAAUUGUGGGCUUGGCAGGGAACUGCCGGCAUCCCAGGGGACAGGGUCUCAUGAGGAUGCCUAAUCCCAGCUCAAAGUGGAGACCCCAGGACUCCAUCACAGCCAGUGGGGGGGAGUGGCUGCUGCAGCAGGGAGGGCUUCAUUGGAAUGAACCCCUUUAAGCUCCAGUCCAAAUGCCCAGAGUGGUUUUGCAGGUAUGGUUGUGAGGCUGGCAUGGUAGUCCCAUCUGCAGUCCCCUGGGAUGAGGCACCUGUAUGGUAGAGGGCCCGGGUGGAGAGAAGAGAAGGAUGGGGAUGAACCCAGGACCACAGAUGGCCCAGUUCCAUGGAUGAUUUUCAUUGAGGUGCCUUCAAGUCAGUUCAACACUGGGCUUCUCAACCUUUGAGGUAUGCAGGUAAGAGUCACCUGCGGCAGUGGGGGAUGCUCUUGUUAAAGUGCAGACUCCGAUUAAGCAGGUCUAGGGUGGGGCCUGAAAUUCUGUGUUCCUAACAAGGCUCCAUCCUGGGUAUGGAGGUCAGGUACCCCCUCACCUCUCCUGUGGACCCAGCUUUUGAGGGGUCAGGAGAAGAAUGUUCAGUCCCAGCUGCCACCACUCUAAAGUCCCCUAGAAACAAGGACUAAUACAGGUGGCGUGGGAGAGGGCCCAGGCAAACAGGGAGGUGGGGUACCCCGGUGGGGCUGCAGUGGGCCCUGCGGAAAGCUUGCUGGAGGUGGGGGCCUAAGGAAUUCAAGGACUUGUUCCAGGAACCCAAGGAACGAGUGGGCUCUAACUGCUGCAGCAUAUGGGAGAUGCCAGGAGGAGCUGGCUGUGGCAGGCCAUCCCAGUCCAUCAGACAACUUGUAGUGGAUGAAGAUGCAGUGUCCAUGGCCAGAAGAAACUCCCGUGGAUGCUCAGGCCAAGGCUGCCAGAAGCACGAGGAGGGGCAGCAUUGAGUGUCAUCGGGAAAAGGCAAAGUGAUGGUCCUGAAGCUGCCCCAUGUGGCCAGUCCCUUUUUGGGAAGCCUGAAUAAAUCCAUUUCCUGUGCACUGUGUGGGAAGCCAACCCCUCUUCAGAGCACCUCUGAACUCAACAGGAUCCUACACUUCUUAUAGGCCUGGCUUGAUGCUGACAUCCUUCAGCCCCAGGGAAGACCUAAAGAUCUCCAGGUCUUGAGGCACCUGGAACACCUCCACCUGAGACCACUUUAACAUGAUUUCUCUGCUUGAGGGAUUUUGGACCAUGCUGUGUGUAUUCAGCCCUAAAACAUGGGCGAGUGCCCGCUUGCAGUUCAAAUUCUCAGAGGAAGUUCCCUGUACUCCACCCAGUGCCAAGUUUAGUUUGUGCAAAUUUCCUUAAUGUCCCCUCCUGUACAACAGGCUUAUUUGGUGUUAACCCUCAUAUCGGGGGUCUAACUCUUUGCUUUUCCAGCUUUUGUGCUGGAAUAUCCCAUUAAACUGUCCAUGUUGGGUAUUUUUUCUUUGUUAGUAAACAUUUGUUGCAUAUUGUUGAUAGCAUUUUAGAUUUGAAGAAAUAACUGACAAAAUCA
rnacentral:lncRNA from 10 species